UUGAGCGCUGAAGGUUGGUACUUGUACCGCACUGGAAGAGCAGCGAACGGGUGAGUAACGCGUGGGGAAUCUGCCGUUUGAGCGGGGGACAACAUUUGGAAACGAAUGCUAAUACCGCAUAAAAGCUUUAAACAUAAGUUAAAAGUUUGAAAGAUGCAAAUGCAUCACUCAAAGAUGAUCCCGCGUUGUAUUAGCUAGUUGGUAGGGUAAAGGCCUACCAAGGCGAUGAUACAUAGCCGACCUGAGAGGGUGAUCGGCCACAUUGGGACUGAGACACGGCCCAAACUCCUACGGGAGGCAGCAGUAGGGAAUCUUCGGCAAUGGGGGCAACCCUGACCGAGCAACGCCGCGUGAGUGAAGAAGGUUUUCGGAUCGUAAAACUCUGUUGUUAGAGAAGAACGUGUGUGGGAGUGGAAAAUCCAUGCAGUGACGGUAUCUAACCAGAAAGGGACGGCUAACUACGUGCCAGCAGCCGCGGUAAUACGUAGGUCCCGAGCGUUGUCCGGAUUUAUUGGGCGUAAAGCGAGCGCAGGUGGUUUAUUAAGUCUGGUGUAAAAGGCAGUGGCUCAACCAUUGUAUGCAUUGGAAACUGGUAGACUUGAGUGCAGGAGAGGAGAGUGGAAUUCCCAUGUGUACGCGGUGAAAUGCGUAUGAUAUAGUGGAUGGAACCCCGGUGGCGAAAGGCGGCUCU
rnacentral:rRNA from 1 species